ACCCACAAGGGCUUAUGGUAAUCAUUAAAAGCCUUAAGCUUACCCCUCAAACUAAUUUUAAUUUAGCACUUCUCAUAGCCAUUAUCAUAACACAUAGGAAAUGAACAAAAUUUUAGUGCUAACAUAACUAACAAGUAACUUGUUUUUACCCAUAUGAACCUUCUUCAUGGGAUCUCCAAUCACAAAGGUUGGGUUCCCAUUACUUGUCGUUUUUCAGUGGCAUAGUCCAUUCCUAUCAAUUUUCUUCCCAGGGGUUUAGCAUCCGGAUCCGCUAAAUUCACAAAUAUUGACUAAGACGUCUCAAAGUCAAUUAAUCUCAUAUUUUCUUGAGUCUAAAAAGUAAACUCAAUUUUCACAAUAAGUUUAUACAAGUCUACUUAGAUGGC
rnacentral:lncRNA from 1 species